GUAUUGGCCCCAUUCUAGAGACGGUGGAGGGCAGAGAGAAAUGACAUGGAACUAACCUUAAGGAAUGCACUAUCUAGCCAGGAGACAGACAUACAGCCAAAUAUGUAAGACGGUGGGAUAACUCUAGCGGAACAGUUGUGUGCUGGAACCAGCUAGCCAGAGCCCAUCUCUGUAGUGAGUGUGCAUCUCUUCCCAAGUCUGCUUUUAGCGUCUUCACAUUCAUGGCUUGAAGGUGGCCAUGGUGGGAGUAUUUACACCACAGAAAUCAGCAAAUGCUAUGCAUCAGGGCCCUAGGAAGGCCAAUUAUGAAACACCAGCAUAUGACAGGAUAGAAGAUGUCAGAGAAAAGCCUACUCAGCGUGAAGAUGACGAGGAUGAAGGCUUGCCUUUUUGAUGAUCCACUUCCCCUUAAUGAACAUAAUAUCCGGUGAAGACGAAGGAGCAAAAUGGUUUUAAGGCAGACUCACUUAUUUAAGAGAAGUAUAUAUUCCCAUUGCCGGUGGUUUGAUACCAUUUUUAUUUGCUUUCAAGUACACUGAGGUCUGGCAAGGCAAGGAAAGGAGGGAGAA
rnacentral:lncRNA from 1 species